AGAGAUUGGAGAGAAUAAAAAGUUAAGAGUAAGAAGAGUGACACAAGGAGAGUGAAGAAGAGCAGACAGAGGAGCGGGGGAAGAACGGCAGUGGUAGAACAUCAACAGACGAAAAAGCCUCUCUGAUUGGCCGUGUUGGUAUGCCCUCUGUCACCACAUUCUUCAAGAAGGUAGAGCCUUCCCAAGAAGAAUAUGGUUUAGCUGUGCAGGAGGGUGUCUUUGCAUACCGCACUAUGCGAUGCAAUCAUAGUUACAGAUCUAUGGACUGCACAGCACAACUCUCACUGAAGCUUUAUGAGCCAAAGUUUACAUGUGCUAGGACAAAAUGUGACGCCAUAGUGAGUAAAAUAUGAUGGCAGCACAUCUGUGGAAACAAAACUGCUUGAUUUUGUUGAAUUGAAAGGAGAAACAGCAGAGGAAAUUGCAGCUGAGAUCCUGGUGGUCAUCUAAAAAUGUAACCUGGAAAACAUUCUCUGCCGACAACAUAAAUACCAACUUUGGAGGACUGAAUAGGCUGGGGAGGGUUAAUGUCCAUACCAAAGUUAAAAAGGCUCUGCAGCGGGAGGUGAUUGACUUAGGUUGUCCUGCCCACAUCAUUCAUAACACGGCCAGAACAGCUUUGGAUAUGAUUCCCCUUGAUGUUGAUUACCUGCUCACAAAGAUAUUUUCACCGUCAGAGUAGAAAGACUGAAGAGCUUUUGUGAGUUUGUUGGCCAGGAGUACCAUAACAUUUUAGGACACUGCAAUGUUCGCUGGCUGUCCAUGCUCCCUGCUCUAGAAAAGGUGCUGAAAAUGUAUGUGCCAUUUGAAAUCCUUUUUUCUUUCUGAAGACAAAUGCCCUGUUGUCCUGCGAACAAUGUUCGAAGAUCCACUGGCUGGCCUUUGUCCAUGGAAACCUGACCAUAUUCAGUGACAUGAUCAAGAUGCUUGAAGGCCAGGACCGCUGUGCUGUGGAGUCAACUGCAAUUCUGAGAAACGUUGAGGCAAAAUUGACUGCAAGACAUGAUGACAACUUCAUUCCAGUUUUGGUCAGAGGACUUCUGAGAGAGCUAGAGGAAAAUGGAGCCAUGUCUAAAGAGAGCUUUCUCGAAACAUCCCAAUCAUUCUUCACUACGGCUGUGAACUACUUGCAAGCAUUGGGGAAAGCACACAAAUAAUCUAAAAGAUUUACAUUGUCUCCUUUUAAAAAGGCAACCUCAGCGUGAAGAGAUCCAGAAGGCAGCAGCCACACUGCAGGAAAAAUGCCCCAAUGUGACCAUCAAUGAGGAUUCAUUGUUUGACAAGGUUACUGGCCUGCAAGAGUUCCUAAAUGGGGGAUCGCUUGAAGAAUGGAAAACAUCUGAGACAACGCUUAGUCAGAUAUGGAGCAUGGUGGUUACACUCUUCAAAGAGAACGACAUCCCACACACUAACCUGGCUAAAUUAGCGUCUGUUGUCAUGUGCUUACCUGGAAGUAAUGCACCAGUCGAGAGAGUGUUCUCCUAAAUGAAUGAUAUAUGGACAGCAGCAAGAAAUAGGUUCACUGUUCCGACCUUCAAGGCCAUGCUUAUUGUGAAGACAAACUUCAUCCUCCCCUGCCAGGAGUUCAUGGAGAAGCUGGCCAAAGACACAGCAAUCCUGAAGAAAAUACAUUCUUCUGAAAAAUAUACAGAUUAGGUUGGUAUAAGUAUAUUAUGUAGUUACCAAUCUCAUCAGCAUCUUAUUUCUUUAUUAUGUUAAGUAUUUCACAUAUACUAUUGUCUGUUUUUUAAAAUUUUGCUCAUGUUCUCUUCUGCUCUUAUUCUACCCAGACUACCAGGACCACUGACUGGCUGUUCAGAUCGGACAGUUCUGUCUUGUCUGUAGGGUUUCUGUAAUAUAGUUGUUUUCUCUUUCUAUCACAGUGUGCCUGUUAGAUUAAAUACAUGAAACCGGAA